GUGUUCACUUUUGCAGCACAUAUACUAAAAUUGGAACUAUAUAGAGGAGAUUAGACUCUGUGCAAGGAUGACACGCAAAUUCGUGAAGCUUUCCACAUUGAA